rnacentral:lncRNA from 1 species
GCCACAGCCUGGAGCAUCUCAGGACUUCAGCAACAUGAACUUGAAACGACAGGACUAGACUCUUAUAUUAAAUGAGUUUAGAUGUUAUUACUGUGAUAUUUAAACAUCUCCUUUAACAAAGACAACAAGUAAUAUUAUAUACAGCUUUGGAGAACCAACUCCAAAAGAAAAUGGUUCCUGAUGAAUUAUUACCAUCAGCAACAACCACUGAAAGGAAAGCAAUAGACAGAAGUAACAGCAUCUCCAAAGUGACUUCAGCUUUUCAUCCAUACAAAAUAGUUAAUCUUCAUUUGCUUAUUUUCUUCCCAAAAAUAUCUAUGGUUACCAGCUAACAGUUUGAUUCAUGAGCUUAAUACCAUAAACAAACUUGAACAACUCACCCUGCAGACUUUGCUGGAAAUGAGCUAAUAUGCACCUGCUGAAGAUUCAACCCACAAGGAGGUAGUCUCCUUGGAAACUGCUCCUGAUGAUCUGAAAUACAAUGGAAAUGGUCACUAAGAAAGCUUACAUUAAUAGAGGUGCUGCAAGAGGUAGCUUAAGACCUGGAUUUUCCAACACAAAAAAAAAAAAGAAAAAUAAACCAUUCAAAGAAGGAACA